rnacentral:tRNA from 1 species
AUCAGGUUAGUUUAUGGAAAACAUCAGGAUGUGGGCUUGAGAAAGAAAGGUUCUCUUUCACUUGAUA